rnacentral:rRNA from 1 species
UAUUCACAGUGGCGACCGGGUGCGUAACACGUAGCUGACCUGCCCUUCAGCGGGGGACAACUUCUGGAAACGGAAGCUAAUACCGCAUGGAUUUGCUUGGAUUAGCAGCAAGCAUAUAAACUUCCGGGGCUGAAGGAGGGGGCUGCGGCCCAUCAGGUAGUUGGUGAGGUAACGGCUCACCAAGCCGACGACGGGUAGGGGGCCUGAGAGGGUGGUCCCCCACACUGGGACUGACACACGGCCCAGACUCCUACGGGAGGCAGCAGUAAGGGAUAUUGCACAAUGGGCGCAAGCCUGAUGCAGCAACGCCGCGUGGAGGAAGAAGGCCUUCGGGUCGUAAACUCGUUUUGCGUCUGACGAGCGAGGACGGUAGGACGCGAAUAAGUCACGGCUAACUACGUGCCAGCAGCCGCGGUAAAACGUAGGUGGCGAGCGUUAUCCGGAUUGACUGGGCGUAAAGGGUGGGCAGGCGGGAGGAUAAGUGGUGUAUAAAAGGGCCGCGCUCAACGUGGCUAGGUUAUGCCAGACUGUCCUUCUAGAGUGCGAGAGAGGGGCGUGGAAUUCCGGGUGUAGUGGUGAAAUGCGUAGAGAUCCGGAGGAACCCCAGAGGCGAAGGCGGCGCCCUGGCUCGCAACUGACGCUCAGCCACGACAGCAUGGGGAGCGAACGGGAUUAGAAACCCCGGUAGUCCAUGCCGUAAACGAUGCACACUAGGCGCUAGCGGUCUCAACCCCGCUGGUGUCGCAGCUAACGCGCUAAGUGUGCCGCCUGGGGAGUACGGUCGCAAGGCUAAAACUCAAAGGAAUUGACGGGGGCCCGCACAAGCAGCGGAGCGUGUGGUUUAAUUCGAGCCUACACGAAGAACCUUACCUGGCUUUGACAUGACACUGAACGAGGCCGAAAAGCCGAGGGUCGCAAGACAGUGUCACUGGUGCUGCAUGGCUGUCGUCAGCUCGUGCCGUGAGGUGUUAGGUUAAGUCCUGUAACGAGCGCAACCCCCGGCUCCAGUUACACGUUGUCUGGAGCAACUGCCCGUGACAAACGGGAGGAAGGUGGGGAUGACGUCAAGUCAGCAUGGCCUGUAUAGCCAGGGCUACACACACGCUACAAUGGCCGGUACAAUGGGUCGCCAAGCCGCAAGGCGGAGCCAAUCCAGCCAAAGCCGGUCACAGUUCGGAUUGUGGGCUGCAACCCGCCCACAUGAAGUCGGAGUUGCUAGUAACCGCCGGUCAGCCAUACGGCGGUGAAUACGUUCCCGGGCCUUGUACACACCGCCCGUCACGUCAUGGGAGCUGGUCACGCCUGAAGCCAGUGCGCUAACCGCAAGGAUGCAACUGUCCAGGGCAGGGCCGGUGACUGGGACGAAGUCGUAACAAGGUA